rnacentral:lncRNA from 1 species
GUUUUCUUGAUGGAGCCUAGCUGGAAUCCUCUGGUCGAGCAGCAAGCUCAAGAUAGAAUACAUAGAAUAGGACAAUACAAACCAACCAGGUGUGCAUUUUCUGAUAUCUUUCUGAUUAAUAUUCUAUCCCGUAAGCCCUCUUAAGUGUUAUAUUUAUCACUAGGAUUGUGAGGUUUCUUUUUAAAGCUACAAUUGAGGAAAGGCUUUUGGAGUUACAAGAGAUGAAAAGAAAACUGUUUGAAGGGUAAGUUAGAUUCUCUAAAGAGCUUUUAAUGGUACUUUGUAUUGUGCUCGAAAGGAAAGGUGUAAUUUUCCUCUCCUCUUUGCCCAGUUUCUCAUUUUUGUUUUUAUUCCAUUACAGGACUGUGGGUGACUGUUCAGAGAACCCAAGGAAAUCAAGAGAGUCUGACUUGAGAUUCAUACUUCAAUUAUAACUUGGAAAGGGAGUAUGUUCUUGAAACCUAGCUUAAGGUUGGUUUUGCAUCAUCAAGUGCUCAAAACUUUAUUGUUUUCUGAUAUAACACGCUAGCUAUUUUAGCUGAGAGGCCAUAUUUCUCAUAAAAACUUGUCCUUUUGGCUGUGUUGUAUUGAUAACUCAAUUCAACAAGUAGACGUAAUUUUCAUGUUGAGGGUGAACAAUUUAAAUCCAGGCAUUUGAUUUCUUGUUCCAUUUUUCUUAUUAUAGUGCUAUUGAAACUAAGCCCCUGUUUGGUUUAACUAAAAAUCAUAUUUUAAUAGAUUUUGAUAAAAAUUGAUAAAAUGUGUAGUUAAAAGAUUGUGAGUCUCAUGAAAUAUAUGGUUAAAAUUAAUUGUUAACUUUGACUUAGAUUAAAAUCUUGAUUAUAAUCCCUACCAAACAGAGACUUAGUAAUGUGGACAUCACUUAUAUUAUUAUCGCACCAUCAAUUAUAUUAUUAUCGCACUAUUUUACUUUUUCUAGUUAUUGGGCUUGUAUUAUUGAUUUGGCCUUAUAUUAUUAUCGCACUAUUUUACUUUUUCUAGUUAUUGGCUUGUAUUAUUGGUUAGGCCCAAGCCCAUCACUGGUAGGAUUAUGCUUUUACUAUUUAUAUGGUUUUCAGUUGUAAUUUCUGUAGACAAUGAAUUGAUGAAUGAAAUAAUUUUUGGUUAAGUUUUCUCCUCUUCUUCCCCGGCCUUCUUCCUCCCACCUCUCUCUGUUUCUCCUCCCCGUUUCUUCUUCUUCUCCCCUGGUUUCUCAACUUCUUCCUAGCUACUUCUUUUUAUUGAAAUCCCUCAAUCUAUCCUACAUCAAAGUGGUAUCAGAGCCGAAACUUGGGUAAACCUAAUCUACAAUACAAAAUUCUUUCUCGCCUUCUUCCCAAAAUUUGUUGGAACAAUACAAGUGAAAAGAUUUUCAGUGCACAAGCAGCAGAUUCCAUUUUUCUAGUUGUCAUUCGUUGUUGAAAAAAAAAAAAGUUACUGUUCGGGUUACUGUUCAAUUUCAAAUUUUUUUCUUUCAAUUUUCUAUUGUAGUUGCCCAAAAUAAAAUAAAAAAAUCUGUUCACGUUACUGUUCACAAGCGGAAAUUUUAGUUUAGGUUCAAUUUCAGUUCCCCUCCACCCAAAAAAAAAAAAAAGUAUUUUCUAACAUUGUUUUGCAGAUACCUCUUCCUGUUCUGUUGAUCAAUCCAGUCGCUUCGAUAAACAAAAAGGGGAGUUACUAUUCUAUUUAUCUUUGGUACAUUACUGUUUAUCUUAAAAAUUGCAUCAAUUAAAUUUUUAUGCUGCUGCUGCUGAUCUAGUUGUUUACCUAAACUCACGUAAUUGGACCCAUUCACUUCGUUAAGUUUCACUUUUACCUCACUUAUUUACGUAAUUAGAGUUUGACUAGUAUUUGACCCUUGCUUUGCUAUUUUACUUAUACCAACAGUAUGAGCUUGUUUUGGAUUUUAAUCCCAAAAUUUAAAUUUUAAAAAAAAAAAAAAAGAAAAAAAGAAGAAAAGAGAUGGCUCAAAUUUUCAUUUUCCAUUACUUGCACUUUUUGUUCGUUGAUCUCUCUAUUGCAUGUCAUUAAGUUGCUAUUACAGUGCAUGUAGUUACAUAUUGGUCAUCUUGUCACUUCUAGCUCCUGUACCUUAGACAUGGACCCCUCACAAUUCGAACCACUCACCCGACAAAUAGCGGCUAUUCAAACUCAAAUGACCGUUACUCUUGAAGUGAGUAAGGCCUUAUCUGUUAGUAACACAUCCCUCAUUCAAUUGAUGUUGAUAAUUCUAAGGUGUCCCAUAAUAGACAACAUCGUCGACAAGGUAAUCAAAAAUACUUUCGACCCGAUCGUAAGGAUAGGGAUAGGAAUAGGGAUUAGGUUCGUGAGCGAGAACGAGAUAAUUUUGAAAUUCUUACUCAAUGGAAUGUCCUUAAACAAGGAAAUCAAUUAGUGACUGAGUAUAUCGCACAAUUUGAGGAAUUUCGAACCAAAUGUCAUUUAAUUGAGGAUGAGAGCACGACUUUGAGUAGGUUUAGCCAAGGUCUGAGAGAUGAUCUUAAGCGCGAGCUUUUCCUUCGAGGUAUCACUACUCUUGAUCACGCUUACUCUUUAGCUCGAGAUUAUGAGUUGAUUAUUAGUACUCCUUAUGAAAAGCGUGGUCAUCGUCGUUCACCCAUCUCAUUAGCGUCGCUUCAUCAUAAGUCUAUCAUAAAACCUUCUCCGUCUAAUGUUCCUCCUAUUUGGAAAAAUAAUUGUAAAAGUCGUGAUAGUCGAAGAUCUUCUUCUCCAUGUAGAAAGCAUAUUGACAAUCAUCAUUCGGUGUCAUUGGCUCCACUUCCUCCCGUUAAGUCUCUUCUAGGACUUCCCCCGUCUGAUGUUCCUCCAAUUUUGAAAAAUAAGGGUAAAAUUUUUUAUAAUCAUAAUUUGGCUUCAUUGGCUCCACCUCCUCCCAUUAAGUCCCUUCUAGGACCUCCCCCUUCUAAUGGUUCUCCAAUCUUGAAAAAUCAGUGUAGAAUUUCUGAAACUCCAAGGUAUUCUUCUCACUUGUUGUGCGUCAACUGUAAAGAUUUUGGUCACAUUUCUUCUAAAUGUCCUAAUCGAGCCUUAGUCAUGGAAGAACGAAAGAAUGUAAUAGAAGAGCCAUUAGAAGAUCUAGUCUAUGAACCUAAACUUGAAGAUUUUGAUGACUUGGAUGAUAGUGAGGACACUUCCUUAUGUGGAAUCCAGACUCUUCCCGAGACUUGGGAUACUAUACCCCUUAUCUCCGACAAUUCUCGAUCACAUGUUAUAUGUCAUACCCUUACCCAAGUUAAAGAGCUUGAUGAUGUCACCAAUCACCCUUGAAAAAUCCAGUCGCCUGUGGUUAACACUAAGGCAAAAUUAUUCACCGCUGACCAACCUCAAAUUGAUGGUCAAAACAAAAAUGCUAACCAAAAUCCUGACAAUUUAUUACAGUCUCUAGUCCAAAAAAAUCUUGAGAAUUGGGACUUGAUCCCUCCAACUGUUCAAAUUGCAUAUAACGAUCCCGUGAACCGGUCUUUAGAUCUAAAACCCUUUGAAGUUAUUCUUGGUUGUGAACCUUUGAAACCUCUAGACCUUAUUUCCAUGCACCCAUAUGCUUGUGUAUCUAUGUCAGUUGAGGUAGUUGUAUCACAUUUUCAUAACUUGCAUAUUGAGAUCAGUGAACAGUUUGAAGCAAGUAAAGCAUUAUAUAAACCUCAAGUUGAUUGGCAUAAACAACACUUUGAAUUUAAUAUUGGGGAUUAUGUUAUAUUGCAAUCGUGUAAUGCUGGUCUUUUUAAAAUUUCAAAGCAUGUUGGUCAAAAUGCCUAUGUCAAUGAUCUUUUAUCACAUUAUGACCAUCACCCUAUUUUAUUUGUUAAGGACUUCGAUACCUACAAUGGCUAUUUUAACACUUUUGUUGAUCCUUUUCUAUCUCUACCUGAGAACUCCCACACCGAAUAUUUUGCUAUGUACAUUCGAAUACCACUUGUCGUAGCACACAAAGAUAAAAUUGAUGUAAUUUUAGAUGAACAGGUUGUGUUAACCAUUGAUGGAGAGAAUCGGUGCUUCUUUAAUUGUUGGGUAGAUCAACGUUCUUAUUAUGCUCCACAUUAUGCGCAAUCAUGUGAAGAUUUUGGAGAUGAGUUGCUGGGGUACUUGUUAUUUGGAGUCCAAUGUCGGUACUUGAUUAAAAUGAGGGAUCGUCCGCCUUGGUCGGAUCAUGUUCUUCAGGACAAGUUGCCAUUUGCAUUGUUAUCAACCGUGAAGUUUAGAUGUUUGGUUCUUCAAAAAGAUCGUUCACCGUGGUAUGAGUUCAGACAUUGAAGAUUGACGGUAGCUCUUUGUCAUUUGUUCACUCGACAGAGUCGAGUUUUUCUUCCACCCCUGGAAAAUUGAUACGGACAUCACUUAUAUUAUUAUCGCACCAUCAAUUAUAUUUUAAUCUCACUGUUUUAUUUUUUCUAGUUAUUGGGCUUGUAUUAUUGGUUUGGCCUUAUAUUAUUAUCGCACUAUUUUAUUUUUUCUAGUUAUUGGGUUUGUAUUAUUGGUUUAGCCUAAGCCCAUCACUGGUAGGGUUAUGCUUUUACUAUUUAUAUGGUUUUCAAUUUUAAUUUCAGCAGACAAUGAAUUGAUGAAUGAAAUAAUGUUUGGUUAAGUUUUCUCCUCUUCUUCCCCGGCCUUCUUCCUCCCACCCUCUCUCUGUUUCUCCUUCUCGUUUCUUCUUCUUCUUCUCCCCUGGUUUCUCAACUUCUUCCUGGCUACUUCUUCUUAUUGAAAUCCCUCAAUCUAUCCUACAUCACUUAGUCUUUACAAAUUUUUAAACCAAGGCAUUUCCAGUUUUAUAAUGCAUAAUACUUAGUCUUCAGUCAUCUGUCUUUGCCCUCGACACGUCGAAGGAUUUCUUGAGAACUGUGCACGAUCCGUUCUUUUUUCUUUGAUGGAUGGUCAAAACUUUAUCUCAAAUAAUUAAACAAUAAGAUUAUACUGGGGUGAAUCCCAACAUAAAAAGGGUUAGUUUCAACCACUCUUGUAUGCAUCAUUUUCAGUUAGGACAUGUUUGAUAUAUAAUAUUAUACUGGAAUCAUUCCCAUUUUUUCUUUAAUAUUAUCUAGCACUAGGGAUCAACAUUACUAAACGACCCAUUAUAGUCCUGAUGAUCAUUGUUUAUAAAGAAGAUUCCAGCUCCAUUUCAGGCAUAUGAGUUCCACUUGAAGCUUUAGCUGUGUUAGUUAUUCAGCUAACCAGAUUUGUAGGAUACUGUGCUGAAUUAGAACUGUAAUGGUGUUUGACUAAUGUGCCGCUCAUACAGUUUUAAAUCCUGCACGUUCUAUCUUUCAGAUGACUUAUGAUGGUCAAGUGUAGAAUUGAUGUACAUAAAAUUUGAUAUGCAUAAAGGCUAAAGCACGUGCAGUGCAUAUGAUUUUUGUUAAAUAUUUAUACACUGGAUGCAAUUAUUCUGACACGAAUGGCUGACUUUUUCAAAGUAAUCAAAGAGGUUGACAUUGGUAAUUAAUUAUAUAGGAGUUUCACACAUUAUUCUCUCAUGCGUAGUAUAUGUAUGCAACUUGUCUGAUGAGUUAAAGCAGAAAAUACUCAAUUUCCAUUUCUCUGUCAGUCUUUUCUUGUUCAUCUUGAAAUGAAUUUUCUUGUUUAUCUUUCCUUUUCUAUAUUUCUUGAGGUCAGUUUCGCCAUUUUCUUGACACAUUAUAGAAGUAGUAAGCAUAUAAGCAAGAAGAAAAUACCACCUGGGCCAAAUUGAAAAGGUCAUUCUUAUUGUGUUUUGUAUGCAGGUGAUUUGGAAUACAUAUGGAACACACUACGAUGACAAGUAUUUUCAAGAUCCUCUCUUUGAAUCCAGGCAAAUUUGAAGAACUGAUUGAACUGAUCACACGAACGGCUGACUUUUUCAAAGUAAUCAAAGAGGUUGACGUUGGCAAUUAAUUAUAUAGGAGUUCCACACAUUAUUCUCUCAUGCGUAGUAUAUGUAUGCAGCUUGUUUGAUGAGUUACUCAAUUUCCAUUUCUCUGUCAAUCUUUCCUUGUUGAUCUUGAAAUGAAUUUUCUUGUUUAUCUGUCCUUUUAUAUAUUUCUUGAGGUCAGUUUCGCAAUUUUCCUGACACAUUAUAGAAGUAGUGAGCAUAGAAGCAAGAAGAAAAUACCACCUGGGCCAAAUUGAAAAGGUCAUUCUUAUUGUGUUUUGUAUGCAGGUGCUUUGGAAUACAUAUGGAACACACUAUGAUGACAAGUAUUUUCAAGAUCAUCUCUUUGAAUCCGCCAAAUUUGAAGAACUGAUUGAUCUGUAUGCUUUUCUACAAUUCGAUGGAGGAAUUGUGUGCAAGAUACCAACUGGUCAAGUUAAAUAUCCUUACAGUCGUAGAUUGUGUAAUAACUCGAUACUAUUGAACUUUAGUAUGGAAUGCCUACAAAAAUUUCUUCCAAGUUAACAUGAUGCCGCUAGUUCAUGGGAUUGUGCACUUAUGGUAAUUUCUCGAAUUCAAUUCGUAAUUUCUAUGUAAACGAUUUUUAACUAGA